UACGUAGGGGCAAGGCGUUGUCCGGAUUCAUUGGGCGUAAAGAGCGUGUAGGCGGCCAGGUAGGUCCGUUGUGAAAACUCGAGGCUCAACCUCGAGACGUCGAUGGAAACCAUCUGGCUAGAGUCCGGAAGAGGAGAGUGAAUUCCUGGUGUAGCGGUGAAAUGCGCAGAUAUCAGGAAGAACACCUAUGGCGAAGGCAGCUCUCUGGGACGGUACUGACGCUGAGACGCGAAAGCGUGGGAGCGAACAGG
rnacentral:rRNA from 1 species